GACGAGGUGGCCGAGUGGUCAAAGGCGCCGGGUUGGGGUUCCUCUCCGGAGGAGCCCUGGACAAUCGACCUUGGCGAUACACGAUGCCUAGUGUUGAUUCCUGGUCCCGGAAACGGGUGCGCGAGUUCGAAUCUCGCUCUUGUCA